AUUGAACGCUGGCGGCAGGCCUAACACAUGCAAGUCGAACGAGUGGCGGACGGGUGAGUAAUGUCUGGGAAACUGCCCGAUGGAGGGGGAUAACUACUGGAAACGGUAGCUAAUACCGCAUACCAUCGGAUCGGCCCAGAUGGGAUUAGCUAGUGGGGGGGGUAACGGCUCACCUAGGCGACGAUCCCUAGCUGGUCUGAGAGGAUGACCAGCCACACUGGAACUGAGACACGGUCCAGACUCCUACGGGAGGCAGCAGUGGGGAAGUUUGCACAAGGGGCGAAAGCCUGAUGCAGCCAUGCCGCGUGAAUGAAGAAGGCCUUCGGGUUGUAAAGUACUUUCAGCGGAGAGGCGUUACCCGCAGAAGAAGCACCGGCUAACUCCGUGCCAGCCGCCGCGGUAAUAC
rnacentral:rRNA from 1 species